UGGUUCAGAGUAUAAAAGUGGGUGAAGAGGAAAGGGUGCCGAUGGAGAUAAUCCUUGCACGGGGGGAUAAAAAGCAGGACUCAAAUCAUACCUUUUCAAUCCUUUUGGAGCAGCGAUAUCGUGAAGAUGACCAAACCAAUCUGUCUGGUGUUUGCCCUACUGAUUCUGACCAUCAUUUUGUGCAACAACUCAGUCUGUUCACAGAGGAGAUCCAUGAAACAAUCUGCUGUUUGUGGCUGCAAACUUUACCCUGAUAAGGGCCUAAAGUGUACAAAAAGACCCAACCCUAAAUCCAGAGAUGAAUACUAUGAAAUUCUGAAGUGCAUUUGCAGGGACACCCAAAUAUUCUCAAAAAGCAGCAGGAAAGAAUAUCUAAAGAGGUGCAACAAAUUUUACCCUUCUCUUCCUUUGUGAGCUGAUAAAUGUGCAGGUUUAUGAGGCUCCUCUGUAUCAGUUAAUCCAUAUCUAUAAAAAUAACACAUGCAUUUAUUGUCUAACGCAAGUGGAAUAAUAAUUAAAAGCUCUCAUUUCAUCAAUGUUACAUGUGUAAUUGAUCUAUUUGAAUGCAAUAAAGUGUUUUUCUGUUA